rnacentral:rRNA from 1 species
GAUGAACGCUGGCGGCGUGCCUAAUACAUGCAAGUCGAGCGGACAGACGAUGAGCUUUCUCCUCUACCGUUAGCGGCUGGCGGGUGAGUAACACGUGGAUCACCUUCCUCUUUUUCUUGGAUAACUUCGUGAAACCGCUUCUACUACCAGCUCAUAUAUUUAACCGCAUGGUUCAAUAGUUCAUGGCGGUUUUCCUGUCACUUUUAGCUGAUUCCGCGUCGCAUUAGCUAGUUGGUAAGGUAAAGGCUUACCAAGGCGACGAUGCGUAGCCGAACUGAGAGGGUGAUCGGCCACACUGGAACUGAGACACGGUCCAGACUCCUACGGGAGGCAGCAGUAGGGAAUAUUCCGCAAUGGGCGAAAGCCUGACGGAGCAAUGCCGCGUGAGUGAAGAAGGUCUUCGGAUCGUAAAACUCUGUUAUUAGGGAAGAACAAGUGUGGAAGGAAACAUGGACGUCUUGACGGUACCUAAUCAGAAAGCAACGGCUAACUACGUG